UACGGAAGGCAGCAGUGGGGAAUAUUGCACAAUGGGCGAAAGCCUGAUGCAGCUAUGCCGCGUGUAUGAAGAAGGCCUUAGGGUUGUAAAGUACUUUCAUCGGGGAGGAAAACAAAACUAAUAAUUUUAUUUCUUGACGUUACCCGAAAAAGAAGCACCGGCUAACUCCGUGCCAGCAGCCGCGGUAAUACGGAGGGUGCUAGCGUUAAUCAGAAUUACUGGGCGUAAAGAGCACGUAGGUGGUUUUUUAAAGUCAGAUGUGAAAUCCCUGGGCUUAACCUAGGAACUGCAUUUUGAAACUGAAAUACUAGAGUAUCGUAGAGGGAGGUAGAAUUCUAGGUGUAGCGGUGAAAUGCGUAGAUAUCUGGAGGAAUACCUGUGGCGAAAGCGGCCUCCUAAACGAAUACUGACACUGAGGUGCGAAAGCGUGGGGAGCAAACAGGGAUUAGAUACC
rnacentral:rRNA from 1 species